GCUUCUCUACAGAAACUCCUUCAAUGAUACCGACCUGUUUGAUUUAUGUCGCACUGAAGACGACCGCGAGGAUGAACAGACGGCGGCGCGUCCUCUUCAUAGAAAUAUCAAUACACAAUUAUUACACAUUUAUGUAUCAGAUGUGGCCCUCAACGACAUCAUAGAUCUAAUCUAUUCCACAACAUGGAAAUAGAUAUAGAGGGUGGGUAGAGGUGGUUACACAGAUAUAGAGAAGAGGCAACUGUUUCUAAGAAGUUACCAAUUCUCCAGAAACCAGAGCAUAUUAGAGAAAAUCAAGAAAUCAUUCUUUCGGGUCAAAAGGGGGUUAUCUGGGUCAGGCUUCGAUUCGUUCGAAUCCGAAAGUUUGUCUGGUUCAGGCUCAAACAUGGCUUGUUUUUCUCUGCUACAAAGACAAGGUGAUUUCUUAGCCUUCAAAACAACAAAUAAUUUGAUGAUUUCCUAAACAAAUCACAGAAUCUUUUGAAUUCAAACCCAUGAAAUCCUUUUCCAUCUCAAUAUCACAACUCAGCCAAUUAAUUUUUUGAACACCCCAGAUUUUGAAAAGAAAAAACAAACUAUAGACGGCAGAGCAAGAUCCAAGAAAAAGGUAUCUACUUGCUCAACAACAAACUCAAAGAAGCAAAUUUUCUACAAAGAUUGAUGGAGAUAAAGAAAGAAAAUAGAUAGAGAGAAAGUGUAAACUCUCAUCUGUCAAAAUGCUUUCAACUGCAG
rnacentral:lncRNA from 1 species